rnacentral:lncRNA from 1 species
UGCAAUCUGAUUUCUAUUCUUUUAGUUAUUCUAAGUGUUUGAUUUCUAUCCUUCUAUUAACUUUGAGUGGGUUGUUCAUCAUCAAGACUUUCGUUUCAACGAGAUAUAAGGCAUAAGACUAAUCAAAUCAAGAGACAUCUGAGAAAUGUAGAAGAACAUGGAUUAUUGACAUCAGUCAACAGACAACCAAAUUAAGAGAAAAGGAUCAUCACCAUCACCAACGACACUGAUAACCAUGAAAUUGGUAUCAAUAUUGUCGAUUUCAAAAGAAAUCAGAAAAACGGAAGAAAAAGGAACCUGAGGUGAGACGGUGUAGCUGUAGGGUACGAAGCUGGUGGCGGUGAAGGCUGUGAGAAAGGGGACCGACUGGUUCCAGGGUCCUGUGAGAGGUUAUCGACAGCGGUGCCUGAGAAGUUGUAAGCGACGGAGAUUUCUGAAGGCCAUUCGAGAGAGGCUAUCGGCCACAAAGUUUUCCUAUGAUAGAGAAGCCGACAAAGAUUAUUCGUGUCUUAGAGAAUAUCGGUGGUUUGGAGGAACGGUGGAAGGAACUGGAAAUGGAAAUAUAUGCAAAUGGUUUAAAUCGAGAAAAUCGAGAAGCAUCGGAA